UUUUAGUCAUGCAGCUGUGAUGGUUUUGGAUCUUGGAGCAGGAGUCAUAAGCCAUUUGCUACAUUGUCAAGACAAAGCCUGAAAGGGAGAUUGCCAGCAUGUAUUAUGCACCUAGCCUGGAGACAGCAUGACACACCUAGGCUGCCCCAAUGAAGACUGCUAAAAACUCUAAAUUUGUGAGCAGUGUUUAAAGGGUCGCAGUUUUUCAGUUUAAGAAGAGUAACGUUAAAACUCUGUCGUCUUUCAGAGGCAGUGUGGUUGGCAUGUGGGUUCCUUCGUGGUGUAGGUGACAGUGGGAAUGCUGGGACUCUAUGUGGACAUGGAUCCCACACUAACAAGAGCCUCAGUGUUGGGCUGGCUCUGUAAAGAGUUGUCUCCAUUCCAAAGCAGUCUGUGCAUGUGAGGGGUGUGGGGUGAGGGCGCAGUGCUAACGAGUGACCCUUCAUCUUCAGUACCUUCUCGUGUAAUACCUUUCUAUUUUCUGUGGGAUUUAAUUCCCUUCGCCAGCAGAAUGUGUUAUAAUGCCUGCUAUUUAGGGCAAUUAAUUGUAUGAUUUCUUGAAAACACUGGCUGGAUCUGUCAAAUCCAUCAUUUCUGUAAUUGUCCAUCCACUAAUUAAACUCCUCUUUUGCCAACUCAGUACAAUGUUUCACACAGUUUUGGCCUCCAGCUCAUUACUCUAAAAUGUUAUUACCAGAGGCAUACAAGCAAUAAAAAUAAGUGUGCUUUUA